GCCACGAUGGCGUAAUGGUAGCGUGAGGGGUUGUGGUCCCCUAGGCCUGAGUUCGAUUCUCGGUCGUGGCC
rnacentral:tRNA from 1 species